ensembl:snoRNA
GUGGUGUGAUCAGAGCCAGUGUCUGUCAGACCAUAGACUCUGGUUUAUACCACACCACAGAGCAACAGGAUGGACAAGAGACAGACACCACAGCAGAGUGGCUGGACCUUUCACUCCUAACAUUA